AAUCCAACGCGGCCGUCGCUGCCUCCCGACACGACCUUUCUCUCGCCACUCGACGGCCUCAUGCUCAGAUCUGAAUUCUCUCGGCGCACUCCCGCGACGUCUUUCUUCCCAAAUUGCGCUCUCUCCCGACGGCCGAUGACUCGCGACCGAGAAGCAAUCGCUCCGCCCUCUCAUCUAAUCUUCCGUCAACGACUUGCUUUCCGCUCUGCUCGAAGCGGUCCCUCGAGAAGCCCUAAAUUUGCGACCGCAAGUCAGGUUCGAUUUCCUCGAGAGCUCAGGUUGUUUUUUACUUUUACUUUUUCUUUUUCUUGUCGCCUUUGAAACUUGGCUUUAAAUUAGUGUCAAACACCUAAAACCUUUUCAAACAUGCAAAAAUUGAAUAUAAAAUAACACUCUUUCAAACUUUUGGGGGAAAGAGAAUAUUUCUCCUUUCUAAACUAAAUAAUUAGGUUGGGUUACGCAAAUUUAUGAUCCUCUGGGGUUGAGGGGCAUAAAAGCAUCUGGACCCAAACUGUCUGCUUAUCGUAAUUAUUGUAAGAAGAAAUUAACAAUUGCUGGAGCCAGCAUAUUGCUUUGGCUUAAUUGUUUUCAGCUACUUUCAUCAAGUCCCUUUUCUGAAGGGUUUAUGAUCAGUUCUGAUGCAAAUGACUUUGCUGGAUGGGCCACUAGUUUGUCUGCUUAUGAAAGCGUUGUGGAUUCAAAUGACUUUUUCUUUAAUGUUGUUAUUGAGAUGACUGAUGUUGGUCAUGGUAUGUUGUUCUGUUCUGGCUAUUCUUGCCUCUGGGCGUUUGUCUGUUUUUCUUUCAGGUCAAUUGCAAAAAACCAUUCUCACACACUUAGGGCUUUGCUUAUUCCCUUUGGGAAAAAGUCGGUCGUGUAAGAAAGCCCAGAUUAUGAGGCUUGAAAUUCUAAUCAUGUAUUGCACCAAAAAGCAGAGCAUAUGCAAGCUACCGGGAUUGCUCUUUAAAUACAUCGACAUCUUACACCAGUCUGGCGUUUGCAAGUGGAUUUAUGAUGAGAUUGCAGCUGUAAGGGAGAUGAUUGUUCCACAAUCAGGAUAAGAUCUCUCCAAUGAGUUAUGUGGUCGCUAUAGCAUCAAAUAUGAAGGUAUCCAAACUUUCCUUGUAUAAUGCCUUUACCUCUCUAAAUUGAUGAUGUGCAUGCAUUCUAUGGAAAACAUUUGUAUCUUUCCUAGUUCAAACUUCAGACCAAUCCUCCCUCUUCAGUAAACUGGAAUAGCAUAUGAUGUAGAUAUUAGAUAUUUUCUCUUGGAAGUUUAGGAGUCAGAGGGAAUUGGUGUGAUGAGAUAACAUAAAGUCCUAUUCAGAUUUAACUUUGAAUUUUGAGUUACAAUGACACCUGAUGGAAGUCAUAAGAUGUGAUCAAUUUCCUUUGCUAGACAAUAAGUAUAUCUGGUUGUACUUGGAUGUUUCUUUGAUGGUUGUACUUGGAUGUUUUUCCAGGGCAGUAUCAAAACUUUUGACUUUACUUUCCUCUUUUUAUUCAGGCCAGCCUUAAAAUAUUGGACUUUAGCAUAUAGCUUCUACAAAUUUUUUGCCCCUUUCUCCACUCACUCCAUUACUUUCGUCUACUUAUUUACAGCUCUCUCUUUUCCUGCUAAAUUUGAUUUUUGGCUUAUGAAUCAGGAAAAGUGGCAUAUGAUAACUAUUUCAGUAAAAAACAUAACUCCAAAAAGCAUUGGAAUAUUUACUUUAAUGUCAAUUUAUUGUCAGUUGUACCCGCCAAAAGAUUGGCUUGUGAAGUCAUCCUUGCCUUUUAAAUUUAAUCCCAGCAUCAUCCGUGCAGUACUCGAGAAGCUUUCUUCAAGAAACUUCCGGUAAGAUCGUCUCAUCCUGCAUUCGUUGAUAUGCGUGUAUUAGAUAUAUUCUUUCCUCUUAUGGGCAUCUUGGAGAAAGAGGCUAUAACAGUCCUCAGUUAUUUUUGUUUCUGAAUAUAUACCAUAGCAACUAGAAAGCAUCGUGAAUGUCUCAAAUACAUCGACAUAAUGGAUUUGCUGGUGUACCAUCAAAUUUUCAUCAUUUAUUUACUUCCAUAUUUAUCAAAGUUACUGCAUUCAGGAAAAGGAUAAAACGCUUAUUUUUACUCUCUGAGUGACAUAGGAUUGCAUUGUCCAUCUUUUUUUUUUAAUCUUCCUAAGCUUCCCUCUUAAUGAACGCAGUUCAAAAGAGUUAGUUUUUAUUGUCGUGACUAUCUGAAAUACUUCCAUUAGCCUAAUUGUGUUCAUAUACUUGAGCCUGGAGAACUUUCAUCACAUUCUUUCAUGUGACCAACAGAAUUUUUUGGGUGUCAAAGAAAUUUGAAGGGGAAACUAACAUGGUCGAGCCAUGGUAUGCAACUGCAUAUUGCGUAGAUAAACUUACUGACUCGACAAUCCAGGUAUCAAAAGAUGUAGUCCUCAUAGACCUUAACUGUUUGUUACUGUAUAAUCAGCUUCCAUAGAAUGCAUUUUGGUGUUCGCUUUUGAUUCCUUAUUAUAUAUCAGGAGUGGGUGCAGCGAGCUCCGAGUAAACAUCUUCGUUUGCCAGUGGCUAAUCAGUUUAUUGCCACUGACUUGUCCCUCAAGAAAACUGAUAAGGUGGUCUGAUCAAUCUUAGGUCCAUUUGGCGUGCUUUUUGAACUAAUCCACCAUCUUGACGUUCAUAACAUUGGAUCAGGUCAUGUAUCCAGUGAUUGAACUUUCACACUUCUUGAGAUGUUGCCAUUUAUCUUACAUUGGCUUGAUAACAGGGUCUACUAUUGACAUGAUCAUCAGCACCAUAACUGUUGGUAGUCAAACCAACUGUUGCUCAUAAUGCUGAGGAGGAUUUAACCGCUGUAAAGAAUGAAAUUCGGGGUAGUCAAACCAGAAGGUGGCAAGCAAUUGGCAUGCUAAGGCAUGUUCUGUUCAGCUACUGUACCUUGGAGAUUAAAGAAACAUGCCAUUGACUUCUUGCUUUGCACCACAGAAGGAGAUAUCUCACAGGAGAGUGAGAGUGAAACCCUAGAUUUCUCAUCAUUUGUUCCUAGCCAUUUUGCUGCCUUGCAGGUAUUAUAGUGAAAGAUGUUGAUUUUAUGCCAUUUCAUUUUGUAUAUUCUUCUUAUCAUUAAAGUGCAAAAUCUCGGGAUUGACAACAUCAUCAUGUACACAUCGAAUGCUGUGCUAAGGAAGAAAGCUUUUGAUGUACUGGAAAGGUCUCCAGAUGCUUGCUGAUACUGCAACUCCUCAAAGGUUUGACGUCUUAAAAGCCCUGAUUACAAAUUGCAUCUCUUCCUUUAUGGUAACUGCAUGGGAAGUACGUGGAAUUGCUGGAUCUAGGGGUGAGGAUGGCUGCAAGGUUUCACUCUCACUGCCCACAAACCGCACGUUUGUUUUACCAUCCUCCCUCCAAUCACCACCACCACCACCACCACCACCACCACCACCUUUACUCCUCGAGCAGCGGCAUAGGCGAUGGCCCUCAUCCGGACCACUGGCUCAGAAUCGACUCUACUGAACUCAUUGUUUAUUCUAUCGUGUGAGGAAGAGAUUAGAUUUCUCUGUUUGGGAUAUGUUUGAGCAUUUAUAGGGAAGACAUCCAGCCAAAAAAUUGAGUUGUUUCCAGUCUUCUCGCAUAUUUUUUCAGACAUGAAAUGUCUCCAUUGUCAAUUUUGUCCCUAGACAUCAAGCCAAAAAAUUAAAUUGUUUCCUGUCUUCUCACAUAGUUUUUCA